CGAGCGGCGGACGGGUGAGUAAUGCUUGGGAACAUGCCUUGAGGUGGGGGACAACAGUUGGAAACGACUGCUAAUACCGCAUAAUGUCUACGGACCAAAGGGGGCUUCGGCUCUCGCCUUUAGAUUGGCCCAAGUGGGAUUAGCUAGUUGGUGAGGUAAUGGCUCACCAAGGCGACGAUCCCUAGCUGGUUUGAGAGGAUGAUCAGCCACACUGGGACUGAGACACGGCCCAGACUCCUACGGGAGGCAGCAGUGGGGAAUAUUGCACAAUGGGCGCAAGCCUGAUGCAGCCAUGCCGCGUGUGUGAAGAAGGCCUUCGGGUUGUAAAGCACUUUCAGUCAGGAGGAAAGGUUAGUAGUUAAUACCUGCUAGCUGGUGACGUUACUGACAGAAGAAGCACCGGCUAACUCCGUGCCAGCAGCCGCGGUAUACCGGAGGGUGCCGAGCGUUAAUCGGAAUUACUGGGCGUAAAGCGUACGCA
rnacentral:rRNA from 1 species